rnacentral:rRNA from 1 species
GAUCGAACGGCGUAGCUACAGGCUUAACACAUGCAAGUCGAGGGGCAGCAUGGUCUUAGCUUGCUAAGGCCGAUGGCGACCGGCGCACGGGUGAGUAACACGUAUCCAACCUGCCGUCUACUCUUGGACAGCCUUCUGAAAGGAAGAUUAAUACCCGAUGGUAUCUUAAGCACGCAUGAGAUUAAGAUUAAAGAUUUAUCGGUAAGCGAUGGGGAUGCGUUCCAUUAGGCGGUUGGCGGGGUAACGGCCCACCAAACCUACGAUGGAUAGGGGUUCUGAGAGGAAGGUCCCCCACAUUGGAACUGAGACACGGUCCAA